GCUUACACUGCUGUACUCCACAUUAGUAUUUCUGUCUAGAGAGGCUUUCCGGAGAGCCUGUCUGAGUGGGGCAUCAGGCACAAACCACAGCUGGAGACAAGUUAUCAACCUGCUAUGGCUGACGUUACCUCUUGGUGUAUUAUGGGGAGCCCUGCUGGUCUGUGUGUGGCUGUGGCUUCUGGAGGUCCCAGAUCCUCAGACUGUCCCUUACUACGGGCCUGCUGUGAUGUUGUUUGCCUUGGCAGGAGUGCAGGAGCUCUUAGCUGAGCCACUCUGGGUCCUGGCUCAGGCUCACAUGUUUGUGCGAUUGGAGGUGGUUGCUGAGAGCUUAGCGAUGAUCGCAAAGUGCAGUGUAACUGUGGUGCUGGUGGUGUCGGCCCGUGAAUGGGGCCUUUACAUCUUCUCUGCCGCUCAAUUGGUGUAUACAGGAUUCCUGGUGCUGUGUUAUUUUGUAUACUUCAUUCAUUUCUUGGGCUCUAAAGAGGCAGCCAAGAUGAAUUUUCCUCUGCUCUGUGUGGGAGAUCUGCUUCCCUGUAGAACUGAU